AGCGAACGCUGGCGGCAGGCCUAACACAUGCAAGUCGAACGAACCCUUCGGGGUUAGUGGCGGACGGGUGAGUAACACGUGGGAACGUACCUUUAGGUUCGGAACAACACAGGGAAACUUGUGCUAAUGCCGAAUGUGCCCUUCGGGGAAAGAUUUGUCGCCUUUAGAGCGGCCCGCGUCUGAUUAGCUUGUUGGUGAGGUAAAAGGCUCACCAAGGCUUCGAUCAGUAGCUGGUCUGAGAGGAUGAUCAGCCACACUGGGACUGAGACACGGCCCAGACUCCUACGGGAGGCAGCAGUGGGGAAUCUUGCGCAAUGGGCGAAAGCCUGACGCAGCCAUGCCGCGUGAAUGAUGAAGGUCUUAGGAUUGUAAAAUUCUUUCACCGGGGAAGAUAAUGACGGUACCCGGAGAAGAAGCCCCGGCUAACUUCGUGCCAGCAGCCGCGGUAA
rnacentral:rRNA from 1 species